AUGGCCUGGGCUCCACUCCUCCUCACCCUCCUCGCUCACUGCACAGCAGCGGCAACACUGGGGAUUGUGCCCAGCUACCAGCAGCGCCCGGGCAGUGCCCUCACCACUGUAAUCUACAAAGAUGAUGAAAGACCCUCUGAGGUUCCCGCUCGGUUCUCUGGCUCCAUUGACACCUCCUCCAGUGCCGCCUCCCUGACCAUCUCUGGGCUGAAGCCCAAGGACGAGGCCGACUACUGUUGUCAGUCUGGUUAUGACAGCAGUAAGAACACGGUGCUCCAGACCCAUGAGGAGAUUGUGGAGUAUGAUUUUUGGCUAGAUUAG